UUUAAAUGGAGGAAUAAUAUUGUGUGUGUGUGUGUGUGUGUGUACUAAAUAAGAGCCAAUCGCUGAAUGGUAAAGUCAUCGCAUCACUGCAGCGGCCGUUAGAAGCUCCGGUUCCUAUGCACAGGCGUACAGUCCGUGGUCAUAAAAAUUCGUCUGCAUGCGGCCACUGUUCAGAGAUCCAAAGCUAGUCCACAGUCUAGUAAACGUUGCUUGCUUGCGCCGACUGAAAACACACGAGGAACAUCAUGAGAUAGGAGAGACUCGGACAUUGCAGUACUGAACAUUGAAUGGUCCAUGUAUGUGGAUUUGGAUAAAACAGGUAAUCGCUUAUUCUUAUUAUCAUGCUACUUUUAUUAUCAAGUUAAUAUUGCAAUUAAUUUGCCCCGGGAUAUCAUACCACAUCACCGCAUAACCGACGCGCUGCGAGGAUAAUAAAAUAUUAGUUAGAUAGCUUACUCCUCAUUUAAAAAACAACUUGUUUUACAUGAAAUACUUAUCAAUUCAUGAAAAAUACUCAUUUUUUUCUCACUAUGGGCCACAAGAGAAAUAUUAAGAAAAUAAAUUAGAUUCAUCUCUCAUCGUCUCUAAGAGAAUAUGUGCAGUUAAUGCAGUGCUAGAUGUCGGAUGUUUUGUAACUGCAAAAAAAAAAACAAAUUACUAUACAAAAGACUAGAAUAACACAAGACGCAUCACUCGCAUUGUUUUGAAUGGGAGAAAGUGCACUUAUAUUCCACCAAUAUAGUGGAAUAAGUCACGCCUUCUAAAUAAGAGCCAAUUGCUGAUUGGUGAAGUCAUUGCGUCACUGCAGCAGCCGUUAGAAGCUCCGGUUCCUAUAGAAACAGUCAGACACGCACUUCCUAUAUAAAGACGCGCACUUAGGACUGCGCAUGUGCGCAAAUAGUCUAUAAACAAAGCAUCAGGCUGUCUUCACAUGAACAACUGUUAAAGUUACUCGUCAGGCUACAGAAUGUAUUUAGAUCUGCAGCUGCUUCCUCAAGCAAUCUCACAUUCUUAGCAGACUGGUGGUACAGAGAAUACAGCUUGGCAAUGAAAAAUUCGAAAUGAUUACAUCCAGCAACCGCUUUCAAACAAUCAUGGACAGCCAAUUCAAGGCGAUGGGCCAAGCAAUGUAUGGACUGGAUGUUUGGAAAGUCACUUAAGUCUUGCAAUGACUCCAGUGGUUUUGCCAGUGAGAACUGCAGCCCCAUCUGUGGCGAUGCUGGUGAGGUGUUUCCCCAAAAACUCAUAAUCUAAUCCCGCUGUAUGAAGGCACUGUCUUAAACUGUUGUGAAUGGACUCUGCAUCUGUGCCCUGCGUCAGCUUUACAAUGUCUAAAAAAAACAUUUUCUAUAUCUCCUUUGCCACUCACAUCACAUCUCACGUAUACGAUGAGAUAGGCACGACCAUCUAUAGUGCUUUCGUCAAUGGUGAUGCUAAUUUUUGAAUUGAGCUCUCGAAUAUUGGAAACAAAUUUCUUCCGCAUUUGCUGUGCAAUAUGACCUAUAAUCUCAGCGCAGGAGUGCUCUGAUUUAUGUGCAGUUCCCACCUUUGCGCCAUUAAGCUCCUGAAGCUUCAUUAAAGGGGUGAGCUUUCUGUAAGACAGCCUUUCCUUAGCCACCAUAUAGGCGGACCUGAAUGAUGUUGCGGUCUCCUACAUUAAUUUCAAAUUCACCUUAAUUACUUUAUUUGUCAGAAUCGCCUUUUGCUUAGUCCAGUGGUUCCCAACCUUUUUUACGCCAAGGCCCACCUCCUCUCCGAAUCAAUACGCCACGGCCCACCUCCCCCCCUUCAGUCUGUAUUUCACAGUGGUUUUUAAUUUAUUAAAUGUAACGUAAUAAUAAUUAAAGUAAUAAAUUAUAUUAAUAUAUUUUAAUUAAUUUUAAUUUAUCUCGGGGCCCACCUGGAGGAUCACUGAGGCCCCCUAGUGGGCCUCGGCCCACAGGUUGGGAACCACUGGCUUAGUCAAUGCCACUUCAAUGGCCCUCGUGUGUGCAAUGCUGUCCCUAUGUUUAUAUAUCUUUUUUUGCAACUUGUUCUGAGCAGUGCUGCUUAAUAUUUCCCCAUUAAUCCACUCCUCAGACAAGUGCGUGCCAGGUACUUUUUCAGACAGAAGAAGGGUUUUUGAUCAUUGUAUGAUAUUUUUUCCCGAUGUGAGCCGUCAGCUCCAGUCCACUACAAUUUGGAGUGGUUAAGGCCCGGGUACUUCAUUUCCCGCGUUCCGCUCAGUUGAGUGUGAGAGCCUUUCAAAGAGACUUCUUUUGCCCGUGAGCGCGCAAGCCUUUCAAAGAUACUCCUUUGGCACAUGCACACGCGCACCAUCCAUGGUCAUAAAAAUUCGGCUGCAUGCGGCCACUGUUCAGAGAUCCAAAGCUAGUCCACAGUCUAGUAAACGUUGCUUGCUUGCGCCAAAUGAAAACACAUGAGAAACAUCAUGAAAUAGGAGAGACUCGGACAUUGCAGUACUGAACAUUGAACGGUCCACAUAUGUGGAUUUGGAUAAAACAGGUAAUCGCUUUGAUGCCGCGCCUGAACGGCGUUUGUUCCUUCACAGUGGCGUAUAGCGGACGGGCAUGCAGGACUAAUGAAUUAUUCUUAUUAUCAUGCUACUUUUAUUAUUAAGUUAUUGCAAUUAAUUUGCCCCGCGAUAUCAUAGCGCAUCACAUAGCGCAUCACCACAAUAAAAUAGUAGUUAGCUUACUCCUCAUUUAAAAAACAACUUGUUUGACAUGAAAUACUUCUCGAUUCACGAAAAAUACUAUUUUUUUUCUCACUAUGGGCCACAAGAGAAAUAUUAAAAAAUUUAAUAUACAAUUUUAAUAUACAAUUAUAAUAUAUAUCGCCUUUCUUACAGUAUCGCAAUAUAUCACAAUAUAUCGUAUCGUAACCCCUGUAUCGUGAUACGUGUCAUAUCGCCAGAUUCUUGGCAAUACACAGCCCUAUAUAUACAUAUAUGUGUGUAUAUAUAUAUAUAUAUAUAUAUGUAAACAUUUUAAAGCAGAGGCUCUGUUAUUUCUUUUGAUAUAUUAUACAUUCAGGUAUUCAUACAGCAAAAUAUUCUGGGGGCCAUGAACAUUUUAUGAAAAUGAUCCAAAAUGGUGGUGAAGGCUGGCAACUUUUUUUUUAAAUGCUGGCAGGGAAAGCGUUAAAAACAAAAUUAUGCCAUUCUUUUUGGUUAGCCGAUAGCUAUAAGUCAGAUAUAUAUUUCUGUGUAGAAUAUGAGUUGUAGUGCUGUAACGUUAAAGACUUGGCAAAUUUGACUGAGGAGGACGAACUCCAGAGGACGGGAUGAUGCAAGUCUGGUCAUUCUGAAAAUAGAACAGCAGCAGAGAUGGACUUAUUAGGAGAUACAAGGGUCUGUUGGUCUACCAUUGGUGAAAGCAUAGUGGCCAACUUGGAUCAAGUGUGCCUCGAUAACCAAAUCACAUUACAGCCUUGACAUCACUGAAUUUCUGUCAGAGGUAUGAGUCAGUUAAUCACUGUUUGCAGAUACCAUAGGAAUGAAUGAGAAGUGAAGAGUAAAACCCAUCUCCUCACUUCUAGUUCUAUCUAUUCUUACCACAACUGGGGGGAGUACUCAGGGCCAAAAUUCCGAGCUCGGCGUCCUUCCUCUGGACAGCAUGCCAAAUACGCAUAACCUUUACCUAUUUAAUUAAAUGUAAACUUGUGAAAUGCACACUUCAGAUGAUCUGGAUUCGACUAAGUCUGCAAGGUUUGCUAAAUUAAAUGUUUAUUGGAUAUAUUUAAAGAUUUGUCUAAAAUAAAUGAUAUAAAUGUUUAUUUGCUGAAUGCUGACGGUAAAUAAGAAAGUAUUAUUAUAACACUAUAGUGUUUGCCUUUCUAUUACUAAUAGGCCUAAUAUAAAAGCAAACGCUAUUGAUACUUUUUUUGUAUAGCCUAGCUACCAUUUACUUUCUUUGUUUAACAGUUUUAUCUAAUAACAUAGCCUAUUAGACAAAACUGUUUAACAGAGACGGUGUGGUGACAAAUGUUAUGAUAAAUGCUGUAACUAUGUACUACAAGCAUAGCAUAAAGAUACCUGAUUAACAAGAUAGCUUAGUUUACAUGCAUCUGCAUUUACCCUAUACAUGUAUUCACAAUAAUCUGUUAUGCUUUUUCUAAUAUUAUCUUUCAUGCAAUAUGGAAUGUAGCUGUCUGUGAAUGUAAACGAUCUGCAAAGUUGUGAAGUCGAAAGUGCACGAUAAAUAAAGUUCCUGGCUGCGUCUGAAACUGCAUACUCACUGAGUAGGUACUUAAUUUCAAUAAGUACUUAAGAGCUAAAAGAGUAGGUACUAUAUAGCCUGAUCUCGUUGAGUAUGAAUGCGAUCCGGACGCCAUCCGCUAUGUUGACGUUAUCAUGUGACCUACGACUUUAUCACAAGCUCAACAACUUAAAGAGUGACAGGUUUAAUUCAUCUAUUAUGUAAAUAUCUUGAUAUUGUUUAAACUUGCUCAUUUUGUGGUCUUGUUGAAGAAACAGCUGCCCAUUUAUUUUCUGAUUGUAGUAUAACAAAGAAGAUCUCACCUUUGGAGAAGACUGUUGAUUAUAUACUCUAAAAAUAUAAGCAUCACUAAAAUUAAGAUUACCCCAGAAUGAAUUGCAUUGCUAGCCCACCCCAACACUUAUGCACAAUAAUAAUGAUAAAUGCUGACCAAUACUUAAAUAUAUUACUUUUUUCCCCUUUUUUAGUAAAACAAGCAAAAUGUAAUGUUUUGUCAUAUGACAUAUCUAUGCAUGAAUACACACUAGACAAAUACAGCCGAUGUGAAUACAUCUCAAUUUUCAGUUAAACAAUGAAUUAAUGCAUGAAUUAAUAAAAUAAUUAUAUUUUAUUUAUUGACAAUAAUAGCAAACAUGAAUAAAGAAGUAAAAGAAUUAAUAAAAGUAACCAUCACAAUAAAUAAAUACAUAUAUAAGACAACAAUACAUUAAAACAAAGCUUUAUUCAAACUUAUUGUUCUAACAAUCACGUAUUUACAGGCAGUGAACCCCACAUCCUACUGCCAUCUCAACACAGCUGUGCCAAUUCUGUGGCUUUAUUUUGAUGAAGCAGCUGACCACCGUGCCCACCUGUCUUUGCCAUUCAUAAUGUCCCUCAUUGCUGCUCUUCUCAGUGGGGACAUCACUGAUCCAGAGAAUGAGGAAAACCAUGUUGUCGGCCCCCCUGAACCCCACAACCUUGAAGCAAGAGUGGGAGAAGAUGUGCGGGACAAUCUGGCUGCCGCUGUGUCUGCUCCAAACAUUCAUGUGCCUGCUCUCCAUGAGCAUGACUACCUCUCUAUUUUGUGGUGUAGUGGGCUAAACCGCUGAACUGGUAAGCAGAAGGUUGCUGGUUCGAUCUCCGCAGCCGUCACCACCAGUGUGUCUUUGAGCAAGGCACUUUACUCCAGAUGCUCUCGCUGGCUCUGGGCUCACUGAGGAUGAAGAGACCACAGCAAGAUCUGGGCCAGAUGAGGUAAUAAGGGCAGGUGGAGUGAUGGAGGGUCUCAUCCAUGGCACUAUAGUAUUUCCAGGAUGCUGCUGUGGGCUCCCCAUCUUCAAUGCUCACACCAGACGUCUUAGAUCCUACAAAAAUGCACAAACAUAAUACAAAAGCAGUAAUUUUAACAGCACAAUGUCAUUUGAUUUCUGUAUUAUAAGUAACAAAAUGAUCGUACUUUAUUUUUUUGUUUCAGAUUUUCCCUUUUUUUGUUCACAAAUGCCGCCGUCACCUUACCUUGCAGGCCUUGCUCCACCACAAAAGCUCUGCAGCAAAUGCACAGAAAUCAAGAAUCAUAAAAGUGGUGUAAUAACUCUGUUUGAAAUGAAAAUAAACUACAACUUAAGAUUUAAAUAGAUUUUUUAUUCAUUUCUGUAGUAUACUCACUUAAAGCCUUAAAGCUCAUCUGUCCCUGUCACAUCCAGACAAGAUUUAUACUACAUUUAAAUGUUGAGGUAGUUCCUUAAUUUAUCAACAAUACUAAUGGACAAAUAAAAUAGAACUUAUGUUUAGUUACUUCAUGUAGAUUUGUUUAUUUACAUUACUUACAUUCAUGUAAUGUAAGCAGUGUUGACAACCGUGAAUUCUACUACAUAAUAGCACACAUACAUCACUCACUCAGAUGUCUACUUCAUGUUGUGAUGUGCUCAUCUGCAAUACUUAUCGAAGAUUUUCCUUUCAGAUGUUAAAUAAACAUUUAGUACGCGUCUUUAUGAUGUAUAUGGUUUAGAAUUCAUGUAAAUCCACUUUGGAGACGCAAGUUAUGUGUGCUUACUAGAGCUCCCCUGUUAGCUAUACAUAAUAAAACAGGUUUUUACAGCAAAGUCGCAACUAUACUAUACUAUCUAGCAUCUUUUCACAUUCAACAAUUCAACAGUUUACUCAACAGUAGUUCAACAAAUGCGUGUUUUUGGUUUUUAAUACUCACAUUUGAAAACAACUACGUUGCUUUUUUCCUCCGUUUUCGAUUAUGACAUAUCCUCUCCCCUGGCCUCCUGGGAUAGAAAAGUAUCCAUCGGAUGAGCACUCGAGAAUCUGGGCGGAAGCAGUAGGCCAUUCAGGAACUUUCGCCUACUCUUUUAUGAAUACUGAAGUUUCGGACAUACUACUCAUUUCACAUACUGUUUUCUCCUACUAUAUAGUAGAUAAGUAGGCAUAUUUGUACGCAACUUAAGUAUAUGCACAACUGAAUCUUGCAAGAAUUAGUACAUUACCGAGGUAAUUCUCGCCUACUCUUUUAUGAAUACUAAGGAUUCGGACAUACUUAUUCGCUCGCCUAAUGCUUUUCCCCUACUAUAUAGUAGAGAAGUAGGCGGUUUUGGAUGCAGCCAUUGUCUUUCAAAAGAAAGAAAGAAUAGACUGAGUAGCCUAAACGAAUUGUUAGGAAUUCAAAUCCAACUUCCGUGAAGGCUACACGUCACUGGGUAGCACAUUUGCCUAAUGCCUGCCUAUGUUCUUUAUUGGCUGCCCGCAAACAUCUACUUUGACCCGCCCCAACGCUGUAGCUGGUUCUGUUGUAUACAUGUCAAGAAGAUGCUGGUUUCUGAUCAGCAAAAGCAAAUUCUCUUUGUAAACACUUCCAAAUGAUGAAGAUAUGAAGAGUCAGUGGUUAAAAUUACCACAGCGAUACAACAGCAGAAUAACAUUUUCACGAUUGGUUCUCAAAUCUCCAUGAGGUCUAAAUGAGAUUUACAAAACGCCUAUUCAUUAAAGAUGGGACCAUACCGACUUUAUUUGGACCAACUUGCUCCUCAGAAUCACAGUCUGUAAGUACAAUUAAUUAUUGAUGUAUAUAUUUUCUACUGGGUGUUCAAAAUUCACGUUAGUGCUUAGCUAAUAUUAGCACUAUUAUUAAUACAGUCAAAUGAUACAGCUGUCAGAGAUCGGCAAGGCUCCAUCACCACCCAAUCACCCCCUGACUAAUCAGAACCAGAAGCGAUGCAACUGGAUAACACUCGCCUGACUGUGUCUGAGCGGCAGAGGAGGAUGACCCAGGGUCUUUGUUUGUAUUGCGGUUCUGGGGGACAUGUUAUCACAGCCUGUCCCAUUCGUCUACCACAACCUAUGUACACACCCUCCUCGACUCUGGGUCAGCUGGAAACUUCAUCUCCGAAUCCCUCUGCCACCAGCUCAACCUCAAGAAGAGGCCCGUUAAGACUCAUUACCAGGUCCAGUCGAUCAUUGGCAAACCCUUGACUGACUGUGCCAUCAACCUCCUUCCGGAUGAGCCAGUGGCCCAUGGAAAGAUUUAUCCUCUCUCUCUCCCUGAACAGAAGGCCAUGUGAGGAGUACAUGAAAGAGGCUCUUCAACAGGGUUACAUCCGGCCUUCCACUUCCCCUGCUGCUUCAAGCUUUUUCUUUGUGGCAAAGAAGGACGGAGGCUUGCGACCCUGCAUUGACUACAGAGCACUCAACAAAAUCACCAUGAAAUUCCGGUACCCUCUUUUAAGAGGGGUUUAAGAGAUGCUGUUAAACGCAAGGCCUUGUUUUUGUUUCUUUCUGAUAAACACAAUGGGAGAAAUUUUAAUAAAUAUCCUGACG